rnacentral:rRNA from 1 species
UACGUAGGGUGCAAGCGUUGUCCGGAAUCAUUGGGCGUAAAGAGCUCGUAGGCGGUUUGUCGCGUCUGCUGUGAAAACUCAGGGCUUAACCCUGAGCUUGCAGUGGGUACGGGCAGACUAGAGUGCGGUAGGGGAGACUGGAAUUCCUGGUGUAGCGGUGAAAUGCGCAGAUAUCAGGAGGAACACCGGUGGCGAAGGCGGGUCUCUGGGCCGUAACUGACGCUGAGGAGCGAAAGCAUGGGGAGCGAACAGG